rnacentral:rRNA from 1 species
GGAUUCCCCUAGUAACUGCGAGUGAAGCGGGAAAAGCUCAAAUUUAAAAUCUGGCAGUCUUUGACUGUCCGAAUUGUAUUCUGGAGAAGCGUUUUCCGCGCUGGACCGUGUACAAGUCUCUUGGAAUAGAGCGUCAUAGAGGGUGAGAAUCCCGUCUUUGACACGGACUACCAGUGCUUUGUGAUGCGCUCUCAAAGAGUCGAGUUGUUUGGGAAUGCAGCUCAAAAUGGGUGGUGAAUUCCAUCUAAAGCUAAAUAUUGGCGAGAGACCGAUAGCGAACAAGUACCGUGAGGGAAAGAUGAAAAGCACUUUGGAAAGAGAGUUAAACAGUACGUGAAAUUGCUGAAAGGGAAACGCUUGAAGUCAGUCGCGUCAUCCGGAACUCAGCCAGGCUUCUGCCUGGUGUACUUUCUGGUUGACGGGCCAGCAUCAGUUUUGACCGCUGGAAAAAGGCCAUGGGAAUGUGGCACCUUCGGGUGUGUUAUAGCCUGUGGUCAUAUACAGCGGUUGGGACUGAGGACCGCAGCACGCCUUUAUGGUUGGGGUUCGCCCACAAUCGUGCUUAGGAUGCCGGCGUAAUGGCUUCAAACGACCCGUCUUGAAACACGGACCAAGGAGUCUAACAUGCCUGCGAGUGUUUGGGUGGAAAACCCGAGCGCACAAUGAAAGUGAAAGUUGGGAUCCCUGUCGUGGGGAGCACCGACGCCCGGACCAGACCUUUUGUGACGGAUCCGCGGUAGAGCAUGUGUGUUGGGACCCGAAAGAUGGUGAACUAUGCCUGAAUAGGGUGAAGCCAGAGGAAACUCUGGUGGAGGCUCGUAGCGAUUCUGACGUGCAAAUCGAUCGUCAAAUUUGGGUAUAGGGGCGAAAGACUAAUCG